rnacentral:rRNA from 1 species
AUUGAACGCUGGCGGCAUGCCUUACACAUGCAAGUCGAACGGUAACAGGUCUUCGGAUGCUGACGAGUGGCGAACGGGUGAGUAAUACAUCGGAACGUGCCCAGACGUGGGGGAUAACGAGGCGAAAGCUUUGCUAAUACCGCAUACGAUCUAAGGAUGAAAGCAGGGGACCGCAAGGCCUUGCGCGUUUGGAGCGGCCGAUGGCAGAUUAGGUAGUUGGUGGGAUAAAAGCUUACCAAGCCGACGAUCUGUAGCUGGUCUGAGAGGACGACCAGCCACACUGGGACUGAGACACGGCCCAGACUCCUACGGGAGGCAGCAGUGGGGAAUUUUGGACAAUGGGCGAAAGCCUGAUCCAGCAAUGCCGCGUGCAGGAUGAAGGCCUUCGGGUUGUAAACUGCUUUUGUACGGAACGAAAAGGCUCUGGCUAAUACCUGGGGCACAUGACGGUACCGUAAGAAUAAACACCGGCUAACUACGUG